rnacentral:rRNA from 1 species
GAUGAACGCUGGCGGCGUGCCUAAUACAUGCCAGUCGAGCGAACGGACGAGAAGCUUGCUUCUCUGAUGUUAGCGGCGGACGGGUGAGUAACACGUGGAUAACCUACCUAUAAGACUGGGAUAACUUCGGGAAACCGGAGCUAAUACCGGAUAAUAUUUUGAACCGCAUGGUUCAAAAGUGAAAGACGGUCUUGCUGUCACUUAUAGAUGGAUCCGCGCUGCAUUAGCUAGUUGGUAAGGUAACGGCUUACCAAGGCAACGAUGCAUAGCCGACCUGAGAGGGUGAUCGGCCACACUGGAACUUAGACACGGUCCAGACUCCUACGGGAGGCAGCAGUAGGGAAUCUUCCGCAAUGGGCGAAAGCCUGACGGAGCAACGCCGCGUGAGUGAUGAAGGUCUUCGGAUCGUAAAACUCUGUUAUUAGGGAAGAACAUAUGUGUAAGUAACUGUGCACAUCUUGACGGUACCUAAUCAGAAAGCCACGGCUAACUACGUG